GACACAGGCAGAGGGAGAAGCAGGCUCCAUGCAGGAGCCCAAUGCAAGAUUCGAUCCCGGAACCCCAGGAUCAUGCCCUGAGCCGAAGGCAGAGAGGCUCAACCACUGAGCCACCCAGGUGUCCCAUAAUGUUUCUAUUUUGAGUGCAAUUGAUUUUUUUUUUUUUUUUAAGAAGGCUCCACACCCAGCAUGGAGCCCAACACAGGACCUGAACUCAUGACCGUGAGAUGAACAAUGUAUCUGGAAUCAACAACAGACACUUAAUUGACUGAGGCAACCAAGCACCCCAAGUACAAUUGAUUAUUUAAGGAAUGUCAACAACCUUGAUUUCUUUCCUGAACCUAUGGAGCAACAGUAACAAUCUCUGAUUCACUUAAAGGCACUUGCAGAUUUUUCCCUUCUUCAGCAACCUAUAAGCAGCAGAUAUGGAUGAUAUACAUGACAUCAUUUUCUGUAUUAUCUACUGAAAACACAAAAUGUCCUUUGGUUUCCAGAAGCAGACUAAGGGAAAUUACACUAAUUAUCCUAAAGGUUAUCCACAACAGAGAAUCAUAAACAAAAAACCACAGCUAUUAGAAUGUUAAAGGGACCUGGGAUUGGAGCAUCUGACUGUGGGGCAGCAAAUGAAUAUGCAGUAGACCUGGCCAUUGUGAGGUGGAUGCUCUCAAGAUCACCAAGUUGCAAUAAGAAUGAAUGAAUCAGCAGCUAUUAUCAUGAAAAAGAAUGAGUAAAUAUGGCACACAAAUAUAGGAAAUACUGUUUAGCCACAGUACUAAUCAAGUAAAUGCAAUUUAAAAGAACACGGCAACAUUAUAUCUUUUCAGCAAAAUUCACAAUCAUAUGCAUAGACAUGAAAUAGGUAAUCUGAAUACAUUACUAUUGAUUGCUUAGAUUUGGAUGUCAUUUCUGAAGGACAUUUGAAAAUUGGUAUUAAAAUUCUAAAAAUCGAUCGGUGCUACAAUUUCAUUUCUUGGAAUGUAUGUUAAGGAAAUUAUUUUUAAAAAAUGGUUUGAAUGAAUAAAUGCAAAAAUAUUCACA
rnacentral:lncRNA from 12 species